UGGGGAAUUUUGCACAAUGGGGGAAACCAUGAUGCAGCGACGCCGCGUGAUUUAGAAGGCCUUCGGGUUGUAAAAAUCUUUUUUACGGGAUGAAAAUGACAGUACCGUAAGAAUAAGGUCCGGCUAAAUACGUGCCAGCAGCCGCGGUAAUACGUAUGGACCGAGCGUUGUCCGGAAUCAUUGGGCGUAAAGGGUACGUAGGCGGCCUAGUAAGUUAGAAGUGAAAUAAUAUAGCUCAACUAUAUAAAGCUUUUAAAACUGCUAGGCUUGAGAGAUGGAAGGGAAAGUGGAAUUCCUAGUGUAGCGGUGAAAUGCGCAGAUAUUAGGAAGAAUACCGGUGGCGAAGGCGACUUUCUGGUCAUCAUCUGACGCUGAGGUACGAAAGCGUGGGUAGCAAACAGG
rnacentral:rRNA from 1 species